CAGCCGCCGCGGUAAUACGAAGGGGGCUAGCGUUGUUCGGAUUUACUGGGCGUAAAGCGCACGUAGGCGGAUCCUUAAGUCAGAGGUGAAAUCCCAAGGCUCAACUUUGGAACUGCCUUUGAUACUGGGGAUCUCGAGUUCGGGAGAGGUGAAUGGAACUGCGAGUGUAGAGGUGAAAUUCGUAGAUAUUCGCAAGAACACCAGUGGCGAAGGCGGCUCACUGGCCCGAUACUGACGCUGAGGUGCGAAAGCGUGGGGAGCAAACAGGAUUAGAUACCCCCGUAGUCCCUGUCUCUUAUAC
rnacentral:rRNA from 1 species